AAACACUAUACAGUAGGUUGAGGUUGUCCCUCUCUAGUCUCUAAACACUAUACAGUAGGUUGAGGUUGUCCCUCUCUAAACACUAUAAAGUAGGUUGAGGUUGUCCCUCUAGUCUCUAAACACUAUACAGUAGGUUGAGGUUGUCCCUCUCUAGUCUCUAAACACUAUACAGUAGGUUGAGGUUG